rnacentral:rRNA from 1 species
GAUCAUGGGCUCAGGAUGAACGCUAGCGGCAGGCCUAAUACAUGCAAGUCGAGCGGCAAGUCGAGGAGUAAUCUAAGACCCUAGGAGCGGCGCACGGGUGCGUAAACGCGUAUGCAACCUACCUUAUACUGGGGGGAUAGCCCUGGGAAACUGGGAGUAAUACCUCAUAGUAUUCAAUAACCGCAUGGUUUAUGGAUUAAAGCUGAGGCGCUUAAAGAUGGUCGUGCGUCUGAUUAGCUAGUUGGUAGGGUAACGGCCUACCAAGGCUACGAUCAGUAGGGGGCGUGAGAGCGUGGCCCCCCCACACGGGUACUGAGACACGGACCCGACUCCUACGGGAGGCAGCAGUAAGGAAUAUUGGGCAAUGGACGGAAGUCUGACCCAGCCAUCCCGCGUGCAGGACGAAUGCCCUAUGGGUUGUAAACUGCUUUUGUUUGGGAAGAAAUGUAUUCUUUUAAGAGUAUUUGACGGUACCAGACGAAUAAGCACCGGCUAACUCCGUG